rnacentral:SRP_RNA from 1 species
GCUGGGCGUGGUGGUGUGCACCUGUAAUCCCAGCUACUCAGGAGGCUGAGGCAGGAGAAUUGCUUGAAUCCAGGAGACGGAAGUUGCAGUGAGCCGAGAUUGCGCCACUCCACUCCAGCCUGGGUGACAGAGCGAGACCCUGUCUCAA